CUCUCUCUCUCUCUCUCUCUCUCUCUCUCACUUUAACUCUCUCUCAAAAUAGCUCACUCUUCCCUCAACCUCUCACAACUCACUCUCAUCCUCUCCUUUCCCGAGUUUCACACACAAGGCACCACACCCACAUACACCACCCUUCUCACCCUCGGACCUCUUCACCUCCCUCGUUCCUCUUCUCCUUUUGUAAACUAGGGUUGUAGCACCAUGGAAACCGAUGCUAAAACUUGGUGAAAUACGGCGAGCAUCAACCUCUGAUUGGUUGUAGGUGAGGGUUUAGCUUGAAAACAACUCAGAGGGAUUUUCCCCAGAUACCGACGUGGAAUCUCGUGGCUUGCAAGCCGUUUUCUAGCCAACUCUAGCCACGGCUGAACCAAAUUUUGGUGCAAUUGUUUAUGGUGUUCACUUCUUCCCUAGUUCGCAUGGCUACUCAACGACGGAGUAUCUGACUUGGAAUCGAGGCGUACAAUCGCGGUGUUAAGGCACUCCCGCAUUGACAUCAUUGAGUCCUCUAGAGCCACCAAAUGGAACUCGACCAGCUCAGAGCCCGGGAACAAGUCAUGCACGUACGGCUUUUGCAACGUCAGCAAGUUCAAUUAGCAGCUAUAGAUUGUAGACAACAGGUGAUCAGGUAAGCGCGGGUUUGUGAUGAACAGGUGAGGAUCAUGGUGGUUUGGGAUUGGCUGGGUUCUGGUGACAGUACAUGUUAUGGGCGGCACAUAUCAGGUGCAGUGACAAUGGGUUAGGCAGGUGAUGGGGGGGGAUGCAAGUGGUUCGGUAGUGAGUAGGUGUGACUAGACCUGGCAUUUUCAACCCUAUCCAUUAAUCUGACAUAUUAAAAUUAGUAUUCGGAUGAGUGCUAAACUGGUCGGGUCAUUAACGAGUCAACUCGUUAAUCACCAGUUAUUUAACGGGUUAUUUUGGGUCAACCCACAAAACCCAUUAACCACCCGUUAACACCCAUUACUGAGAACUUUUGUGUAAUUUUAAAUUUUCACUCUUUUAUUCAUUUGCAGUUAGAUAUAAUUUCUAGUAUUAGCAAUACUGUAUUGCUGCAAAAUACGUUGGAAGGCUAAUUUCCCAGCUCCCACCAGUUUAGCCUAUUCAUAUUUCGUCUUUGGACUUAUCAAUGGCAAGUUUUGGGGGUCAUGGGAUGGCCAGACCUUCGCUUGAUCUUGAUAUUCUACCUGGGAGUGCUUCAUCUUCCAUGCCCAAUUUACCUUACCAACCUAACGGGGUUUCAGACAUGGAUAAGUCCCUCAUGAGUGACAUUGCUGCAAAUGCCAUGGAAGAGUUGCUUAGGCUUUUGCAGACCAAUGAACCCUUGUGGAUGAAGUCUUCUAUUGAUAGGAGGGAUGUUCUUAAUCUCGAAACCUAUGAGAGGAUUUUUCCGAGGGCUAAUGAUCAUUUGAUUAUUUUGGUUGCCUAUCUUACUACGGCUGCUGCUUCUCCAAACCUUGGUCCUAGAGAUGUUGAUGAUUGGCGAAACGGUUCUCUGCCUGAAAAUGCCAACCCCUCAGAUUAUGAACGUAUAAAAUUGAUAAAAAGUCAACUUCUACUAUACAAAAUGGGGUUGUAUUUGAUUUGGAUGAAAUGUUAAAAAAAAAUAAAAAAAAUGUUAACGGGUGACUUAUUAAAUUAACAGGUUGGGUUUGGGUGACCCGUUACCUUAACAGGUUGGGUUCGGAUGACCCGUUAAAUUAACGGUUCGGGUCAAACCCAACCCAAACCCAGUAAACUCGACCCAUUUACAAGUUUACUACCAAUCUGUGCUAUUCCCUGGAGCCACUGAGUGGAACUUGACCAGCUUCGAGCCCAAGACCGAGUCAGGCACGCCUAAUUGAAACUUGUUUGCAAUUACUCUAAUCAACCCAGUACUUACACCACGCAACUCGACCCCUAUAACCUGCUAAUCAGACACUGCAACUGUCACACCUAGACCUGUAAACAGGUCGGGUUUGACCCAACCCGUUAAUUUAACGGGUCAUUCGAACUUAACCCGUUAAGGUAACGGGUCACCUAAACCCAACUCGUUUCACCCAUUUCAUCCUUUAACAAUUUUUUUUUUUAAUUUUUCUCUUACAUUUCAUCCAACUCAAAUACAGCCUCAUUUUGUAUAGUAGAAGUCGACUUUCUAUCAAUUUUAUACGUUCAUAAUCUGAGGGUUUGGCGUUUUCAGGCAGAGAACCGUUUCGCCAAUCAUCAACAUCUCUAGGACCAAGGUUUGGAGAAGCAGCAAUCGCAGUAAGAUAGGCAACCAAAAUAAUCAAAUGACUAUUAGCCUUCGGAAAAAUCCUCUCGUAGGUUUCGAGAUUAAGAACAUCCUUCUCAUCAGUAGAAGACUUCAUCUACAAGGGUUCAUUGGUCUGCAAAAGCCUAAGCAACUCUUCCAUGGCAUUUGCAGCAAUGUCAAUAAUGAGGGACUUAUCCAUGUCCGAAAUUCCAUUAGGCUAGUAAGGUAAAUUAGGCAUGGAAGAUGAAGCACUCCUAGGUAGAACAUCAAGAUCAAGCGAAGUUUUGACCAUUCCAUAACCCCCAAAACUUGCCAUUGAUAAGUUCAAAGACGAAAUAUGAAUAGGCUGAACUGGUGGCAGCUGGGAAAUUGGCCUUCCAACGUAUUUUGCAGCAAUACAGUAUUGCAAAUACUAGACACUAUAUCUAACUACAAAUUAAUGAAAGAGUGAAAAUUUGAAAUUACACAAAAGUCCUCAAUAACACGUGUCAAUGGGUGGUUAACGGGUUUCACGGGUUGACCCAAAAUGACCCGUUAAUGACCUGACCCGUUUAGCACUCACCUGAAUACUAAUUUUAACGGGUCAGGUCAGGUUGGAUUAACAGGUGGGGUUGAAAAUGCCAAGUCUAAUUGGUUGGGAGAAGGAGAGAGAGAAUUAGAAGAAAUUUUUUAAUUUUUUAAUAUUUAAUUCAUUUUUUAAUUUAAUUGGGCAAGAUAGUGGGUUCUCUGUUUGCCAAAUCAAUAGUUAAUAGACAAAUUAGGAGAUUGUUUAACGGAUAAGUCUAACAUCGAACAUUGCAAUAAAUUUGUAAGAUGAAGUACGAUAUUGUAAUUUUAAAAGCAUGAGGUAUGAGAUUUUAGUUCGAUCUAUAAUUAAGGUAAUUUUGUGUAAUUUAUCAUUUGUAAUAUUAACAGUUCGGAUCAUAAAUUCAAAAUCUCGUGAAUCCACCCCACGAAGUA